ACCAGUGUACUCACGGGAGCCCAGAAUGGUUAGAAAACAAAGCUGUAAGAGAGAGAGGUUCCCACAUAAAACAAGAGUGUUAAAGUGUGAAACAGGAGGUUUGGCCCUCACCCCUCCUCUCUCUGGGAGAGUUAGGGGGUUUCCCCGCCCACGCCCUGAGAGACCAUCAACACCGUGCAGGCCGGUCUGUGCUUCACAGGGCUGGCUCCUGCCUUCCUCCUUUGUGAACUCAGGGAUUCAUGGAGCUAAGCCAUCAACACCUGGCUGAGAAGUAGGGCCUCUCCACCUUCCUCCCCCUCUGCUCACAAAUGGCCCUGAGGAGUGUCAGAGAUCAAAGGGGCCGGCGCCCUGGCCUUCUGCUGCUCAGCCCCAUAACUGCCCUCAGAGGACGGGAAUUCACACCUGCUGGUGGUGGAGGGGCCCAAGGUGUGGAGGACUGUGUUGGCUGCGGCAUCAUCUGCAAAGAGCCAAGAACUGAGACGCAGUUUCAGGAUCAGACCUCUUCACUGGGGCCUAGAAUGUCAGCUCCCACAGCCACUUAAGGAAACAGAAGUGUGUGCAACAAUUUUACUCUGAAGGUGGUGACCUGCCCUCCCUCCUUUGUUGCUGCCCAUAGUUCCAGGGAGUUUCUGCCUCAACCCCUCUCUCAGUAUGGUAAGCGGAACCCUGCCUUCUUCUUGGUAGCGCACUAUGCCAGAUUUAACUGUUUUAUGAUUAAAUAUCCUCCAUGCAACAUUAGGAAAGUCAGGAGUCCUAAAUAAGUCACAUGGUUUGGAUGAAACCAGAUGUCAGGGUUUGCCUUCUCUCACAGAUCGUGAAGUCCAAAGGAAGGCAUUUUGGAGCUGGUCACCAGAGAGCCAGCUGGGGUCCACCUUAUUUAGGGUCUAGAUGGGUGGUGUGCUGGCCAGACCAUAAGUAGACAAGCGUGUGUACUCACGUGGAGGAGGUGGGCUCAGAAGAAUCGAUGGCCACAGAGACCAUGUUCAUGCGUGGGCCAGGAGGAAUUUGGAGAGGCUGGAGCCUUAGACUCAUUUUUAGUCUCGCUGUUUGACUGGAAGAAGCUGUCCUGUUCCUAAUCUCUGCAAGCAGACUGUUCUGGUGUCCCCAAGAUCACUCCCUUGUUGUUUCAAGACAGGCAAGGGCUGGGUCUAGGGGUCCUGGAAGGUAGGGCUUUUCCAGUCUCCUGAGGUGUCACCACCUACUGUCUGCUGAGGCUGCUCAGAUAUUUUCAUUCUAAUCCUUGAUAGCAGGCAUAGCUCUGCCGUUUAUAACCAUCCCAUCCACCUGACAUAGGUUCUUGCCGGGGGCAUUUGAGUUGGUGCCUCUCGGUCUGAUCCAACAGCCCACUGCGAUGCCCUGGCCAAGUGGCAGCCCUGAAAUAGUCCCAUUGAUAGGAAGGGUCCAGUACCAUCUGUGAUGCUGUGAAAAGCAGUCUUUCUCCUCGUUUCCCAGCAUUCCUGGAAAUAUAUGAAAUACAGGGCACUUUAUCGUGCCACAAAGUUAUUUUAAGAAGGAAAAUCAUUCUUCUUUCAUCUUUCAUCCUUUAUCAAUCACAGAAUUGUGGCUGAGGUAUCUGGUUACAGCAGCCGUGUGGAACUCUGAGUGUUUCCCCUCAUCUCACUCUUCCUCUGCCCUGAUGAUCCAGCAUCCCACACAACACCUGGCAAAGAGGCAAACAAAUGGCUUGGGCAGCUCUUCCGGACACCAAAAGGAGGGAGCCACUCAGGAUCCUCUCUUGCCCCGAGUGGUACAGAAUGAUGACAGGUGCUUUGCUGCCAUGUUUGAUGGUUGGGGACAGUGGACCCAACAGCUCAGAGAACAGAGUGAAGAGAAAGAGAAACCAACUCAUUCAAGCCACUUAUUCUUGUCUCCCAGAAGGUAACCCUGCUCUGGAGUUUCAGUUUGGUAAGUCUAUGCAUUCUAUUACUGCUUGGGUCCAGACGAAUUGAGUUUCCUGUCAUUUGGGAUUAAAGGAGUCUGGGCUGAUAUGCAGAGCAUGAUUCCAACUUUGUUUUCUAAACAUAUUUUAAAUAUACAAUCAAAAUUUUAGAAGUAUCAUCAAAACCCACUAUUUUCACCUACCAAUCCACUCCUCAGUGUCCAAGCAUUUGCUUUUAUUCCUCCAAGAAAUAGCUGUGGUAGCCAGUGAGAUUCAUUUAUACACAAAUGGAAAGAGAGUUUCCAGCUAAAUCCUGCAAGAGAUCACAGUGACUUAAGCAUGGUUGUGGUGGAUGCGUGAGAGAGAGUGAUGGGGAGUGUGCAGGAAAGGUCAAAAAGAAUGUUGAAG
rnacentral:lncRNA from 1 species